rnacentral:rRNA from 1 species
CCGCGUGAGGGAUGACCGGCCUUCGGGUUGUAAACCUCUUUCAAGCAGGGAAGAAGCGAAAGUGACGGUACCUGCAGAAGAAGCGCCGGCUAACUACGUGCCAGCAGCCGCGGUAAUACGUAGGGCGCGAGCGUUGUCCGGAAAUUAUUGGGCGUAAAGAGCUCGUAGGCGGCUUGUCACGUCGGUUGUGAAAGCCCGGGGCUUAACCCCGGGGUCUGCAGUCGAUACGGGCAGGCUAGAGUUCGGUAGGGGAGAUCGGAAUUCCUGGUGUAGCGGUGAAAUGCGCAGAUAUCAGGAGGAACACCGGUGGCCGAAGGCGGAUCUCUGGGCCGAUACUGGACGCUGAGGAGCGGAAAGCGUGGGGAGCGAACAGGAUUAGAUACCCUGGUAGUCCACGCCGUAAACGGUGGGCACUAGGUGUGGGCAACAUUCCACGUUGUCCGUGCCGCAGCUAACGCAUUAAGUGCCCCGCCUGGGGAGUACGGCCGCAAGGCUAAAACUCAAAGGAAUUGACGGGGGCCCGCACAAGCGGCGGAGCAUGUGGCUUUAAUUCGACGCAACGCGAAGAACCUUACCAAGGCUUUGACAUACACCGGAAACGUCUUGGAGACAGGCGCCCCCUUGUGGUCGGUGUAACAGGUGGGUGCAAUGGCUGUCGUCAGCUCGUGUCGUGAAGAUUGUUGGGUUAAGUCCCGCAACGAGCGCAACCCUUGUCCCGUGUUGCCAGCAGGCCCUUGUGGUGCUGGGGACUCACGGGAGACCGCCGGGGUCAACUCGGAGGAAGGUGGGGACGACGUCAAGUCAUCAUGCCCCUUAUGUCUUGGGCUGCACACGUGCUACAAUGGCCGGUACAAUGAGCUGCGAUACCGUGAGGUGGAGCGAAUCUCAAAAAGCCGGUCUCAGUUCGGAUUGGGGUCUGCAACUCGACCCCAUGAAGUCGGAGUCGCUAGUAAUCGCAGAUCAGCAUUGCUGCGGUGAAUACGUUCCCGGGCCUUGUACACACCGCCCGUCACGUCACGAAAGUCGGUAACACCCGAAGCCGGUGGCCCAACCUCC